GUAAGGAAUAUUGGUCAAUGGACGAAAGUCUGAACCAGCCAUGCCGCGUGGAGGAUGAAGGUCCUCUGGAUUGUAAACUUCUUUUAUAUGGGACGAAAAUGGGGCUUUCUAGCUCAACUGACGGUACCAUAUGAAUAAGCACCGGCUAACUCCGUGCCAGCAGCCGCGGUAAUACGGAGGGUGCAAGCGUUAUCCGGAUUCACUGGGUUUAAAGGGUGCGUAGGUGGAUUGGUAAGUCAGAGGUGAAAUCUCCGGGCUCAACUCGGAAACUGCCUUUGAUACUAUCAAUCUUGAAUAUUGUGGAGGUUAGCGUAAUAUGUCAUGUAUCGGUGAAAUGCUUAGAUAUGACAUAGAACACCAAUUGCGAAGGCAGCUGGCUACACAUAUAUUGACACUGAGGCACGAAAGCGUGGGGAUCAAACAGGAUUAGAAACCCGGGUAGUCC
rnacentral:rRNA from 1 species